UUUUUUUCUAAGCUGGUACAUUUCACUCAGGAGGCUGAGGCAGGAGGAUUGUUGCAAGUUGGAGACCAGUCUGGGCUACAAAGUGAGCCCAAGGCCAGCAUGAUGUGCAUAGCCAGACCCUGUCUCAAAAAGACAAAAAAAAUUUUUUUUCUAAAUUUUGAGGUAAACAGCAUUAAAAUUUUUCAUCCUGAGAAGACAAAAAAUGAAAAUGCUACCCAGUUCAUUUCUCCACAGCCUGAAGUUAGGAGAAAUGUGAAGACGAGCACCAGAAGUAGAAAUGGCCCUCCUGAGAUGGGCCACCCGGUUAAGAAGGGAAGAGUUGUCCAAUAGCAGAAAUCACUGUAUCGCUUUUUCUCUGUCUUCAUGUGCAUAAAUGAAUUUUGGCAAAGCUGUUUGGCUGGCACAUUGUAAGUAGUCUGUGUUCGUUACAUAGCUGGGUGUUUUCUCUCUCUAGAAAGAUCCAACAAUACAAUUUCAAAUUUACUGAUAGCUCCAAGGUAUGUUUCAUAGCAACCAUGACCAAAGUAGACUUCCUGUGGAAUAAUGUACCCUCCCCCACACCACCACCUGGGGGCAGAAAGGAACGUGUUGGCAGUGUUCUUAGCUUAGUAUGAAAUGUUCUUUCAUAACAUGAUACCUUUAUUAUUUUUUACAGCUUCUCAAGAGCCUCCUGCGCCUCUGCACAACUCCAGUGGUAACCUAACAGAGACUGUGUCCUCCAACGGUACAAGCACAUCCAAUGUUAGCAACAGCACUGUGAAACCAUCAACAACUACGGUUUCCUUGGUCUCAAUCAACAUGACAAGUGUCACCAGGAAGUCCACAGCGACUUCUAAAAUGGCAACACCAGGAGUCUCAGCCAGUACAACUCCCGCCACCUCAAAGUCUACGCCCAAAGCCACAAGUAUUUCACAAAACGUAUCCCAGGUGUCAACUUCCGUGAUGACCACAACCCACACCAGUUUGCUGACUUCGCCAACAACAACUGUUCAUUCUAAAGAAAGCAGAGGAUCAAGAUUCGACACUGGCAGCUUUGUUGGUGGCAUUGUUUUGACACUGGGAAUUCUAUCUGUUCUGUAUAUUGGAUGCAAAAUGUAUUACUCAAGAAGAGGCAUUCGGUAUAGAACCAUUGAUGAACAUGAUGCCAUCAUUUAA
rnacentral:lncRNA from 1 species